GCAGCACCCAGCGCUCCUACAACACCUGCUGCAGCUGGACCCAACACCCUUUGAUCCAGAAGAACCGCCGAGUGGUGCUGGCCUCCUUCCUGCUCCUGCUGCUGGGGCUGGGUGAGUGGCCCUGAGGGUUGGGGUCAAGAGGGGCCCCGUGGGAGGCUCUGCCCUCCUUUUGUACAGGCUCUGCCUCCCCCUUGACACUGAGCCUCCCAGCAUCCUGAGGAGGCAGCUGGCUGCCAUCAUCACACUCCCAUUUUACAGGGCCUGCUCAGUGCCUUGCUCUGGAAACAGAGCUUGGUGAGCUUCCUGGGGAGGGUCUCUGCCUAGGGCACCUUCAGCUCAGGUGGUGGGUGAGCCGGGCUGGGGGUGGGAGCCCCCGCCCUCACCACUGCUCCUGCCCCCACCCCCGCGGCUCCGUCUGUGUGCAGUGCUGAUCCUGGUCGGCGUGGGACUGGAGGCGACCCCCUCUCCAGGUGUCUCCAGCGCCAUCUUCUUCGUGCCGGGCUUCCUGUUGUUGGUGCCUGGAGUCUAUCACGUGAUCUUCAUCUACUGCGCGGUCAAGGGCCACCGGGGCUUCCAGUUCUUCUACCUGCCCUACUUCGAGAAGUGAUCGCGGCGCAGCGUGGACCCCUUGCGCCCAUGGGGGCGCCCCUCUUGCCCUGUUCCGUUCCCCUCAUCUCAAGGGAAGAGGCCCUCCAGGACCCUCGAAACCCCAGCCC
rnacentral:lncRNA from 1 species